rnacentral:rRNA from 1 species
UACGUAGGGGGCAAGCGUUGUCCGGAAUCAUUGGGCGUAAAGAGCGCGUAGGCGGCCAGAUAAGUCCGCUGUGAAAUCUCGAGGCUCAACUUCGAGCUGUCGGUGGAAACUGUCUGGCUAGAGUUCGGAGGAGGAGAAUGGAAUUCCUGGUGUAGCGGUGAAAUGCGCAGAUAUCAGGAAGAACACCCGUGGCGAAGGCGGUUCUCUGGGACGGUACUGACGCUGAGACGCGAAAGCGUGGGGAGCGAACAGG